GGCUGGUAGAAGGUGGUGAGUUGUCUCAACUGAUCGUUCAGAUACUCCUUGUUCUACUCUUUCUCCCCUUCUCACUACUGUGCUUGACUAAUCUAAA
ensembl:misc_RNA Y_RNA Y RNA